GAUCUAGCCAUGGGCAGGUUGAAGGUUGGGUAACACUAACUGGAGGACCGAACCGACUAAUGUUGAAAAAUUAGCGGAUGACCUGUGGCUGGGGGUGAAAGGCCAAUCAAACCGGGAGAUAGCUGGUUCUCCCCGAAAGCUAUUUAGGUAGCGCCUCGUGAAUUCAUCUCCGGGGGUAGAGCACUGUUUCGGCUAGGGGGCCAUCCCGGCUUACCAACCCGAUGCAAACUGCGAAUACCGGAGAAUGUUAUCACGGGAGACACACGGCGGGUGCUAACGUCCGUCGUGAAGAGGGAAACAACCCAGACCGCCAGCUAAGGUCCCAAAGUCAUGGUUAAGUGGGAAACGAUGUGGGAAGGCCCAGACAGCCAGGAUGUUGGCUUAGAAGCAGCCAUCAUUUAAAGAAAGCGUAAUAGCUCACUGGUCGAGUCGGCCUGCGCGGAAGAUGUAACGGGGCUAAACCAUGCACCGAAGCUGCGGCAGCGAACGUAUCACUUAAAGCGAUUCAGCGGGUUACGAUUGACGGAGCGAAGCGACGUCAAAGCGUAUACAAAGUCGAGUCGGUUUAAGGAUACGUUCGUUGGGUAGGGGAGCGUUCUGUAAGCCUGUGAAGGUGUGUCGUGAGGCAUGCUGGAGGUAUCAGAAGUGCGAAUGCUGACAUAAGUAACGAUAAAGCGGGUGAAAAGCCCGCUCGCCGGAAGACCAAGGGUUCCUGUCCAACGUUAAUCGGGGCAGGGUGAGUCGACCCCUAAGGCGAGGCCGAAAGGCGUAGUCGAUGGGAAACGGGUUAAUAUUCCCGUACUUGGUGUUACUGCGAAGGGGGGACGGAGAAGGCUAUGUUGGCCGGGCGACGGUUGUCCCGGUUUAAGCGUGUAGGUGUGUGUUCCAGGUAAAUCCGGUU
rnacentral:rRNA from 1 species